ensembl:ncRNA C27D6.14 ncRNA
ACGUCAGAGAAGUCAGAGUAUAGAAAAGAGACGGACGUGUCUCUCUUUCUUGCUUUCACAUUCUCUCGUGGCUAUUUCCCUAUUUUUUCCCCCGUUGGCCAUUAGGGUACCCAAUGGCUCUGGGAAACGACGCGGCGACGGAAGCCGUUGGUCACGGACUGGUAAAAAUAGGAGCUCAUGUAGAAACUCGAUGACGUUCACAAAAAA